UACGUAGGGGGCAAGCGUUGUCCGGAUUUAUUGGGCGUAAAGAGCGUGUAGGCGGCCAAGCAGGUCAGCUGUGAAAACUCGAGGCUCAACCUCGAGCUGUCGGUGGAAACUGUGUGGCUAGAGUCCGGAAGAGGAGAGUGGAAUUCCCGGUGUAGCGGUGAAAUGCGCAGAUAUCGGGAAGAACACCCGUGGCGAAGGCGGCUCUCUGGGACGGUACUGACGCUGAGACGCGAAAGCGUGGGGAGCGAACAGG
rnacentral:rRNA from 1 species